GAUAUUCAUGCUUCUCAAACUUCAAUAUGGAUAAAACAAGGACUGUCAAGAAGACUGCAACUGUAUAUGUACAACCUAAUGGGGAUGGGAAUGCUGUUAGUCUUCACAUCUAGGAAUGUUGCUAAUAUGAGAUUAUUAAGAAAACCGCAAAGUCAACAACUAUCCUAGAUUCCAUAAUAUUAGGAAGCUGGCUCAACUACACUUAAUAUUCUGGUAAUACUCAAGAAAGUGACAUGGCAAUUCAACAAUGCAUGUACAACAGAACGAGAUAUUUCCAUACCAAGACAAUUCUUACUGAAUUAGUAUUUAGCUG
rnacentral:lncRNA from 1 species